GGGUUGUGAGGUUAAGCGACUAAGCGUACACGGUGGAUGCCCUGGCAGUCAGAGGCGAUGAAGGACGUGCUAAUCUGCGAUAAGCGUCGGUGAGGUGAUAUGAACCGUUAUAACCGGCGAUUUCCGAAUGGGGAAACCCAGUGUGAUUCGUCACACUAUCAUUAACUGAAUCCAUAGGUUAAUGAGGCGAACCGGGGGAACUGAAACAUCUAAGUACCCCGAGGAAAAGAAAUCAACCGAGAUUCCCCCAGUAGCGGCGAGCGAACGGGGAGGAGCCCAGAGCCUGAAUCAGUAUGUGUGUUAGUGGAAGCGUCUGGAAAGGCGCGCGAUACAGGGUGACAGCCCCGUACACAAAAAUGCACAUAUUGUGAGCUCGAUGAGUAGGGCGGGACACGUGGUAUCCUGUCUGAAUAUGGGGGGACCAUCCUCCAAGGCUAAAUACUCCUGACUGACCGAUAGUGAACCAGUACCGUGAGGGAAAGGCGAAAAGAACCCCGGCGAGGGGAGUGAAAAAGAACCUGAAACCGUGUACGUACAAGCAGUGGGAGCCUCUUAAUGGGGUGACUGCGUACCUUUUGUAUAAUGGGUCAGCGACUU
rnacentral:rRNA from 1 species